GGCAUUCUAACUCAAUGGAAAGAGUGUCAAACUUGAAUACUUGAACUUUGAGUUUCAAGACUUGAGUUCAAAUCUUAGCACUGCUG
rnacentral:tRNA from 1 species